rnacentral:rRNA from 1 species
AUUGAACGCUGGCGGCAUGCUUUACACAUGCAAGUCGAACGGUAACAGGUUAAGCUGACGAGUGGCGAACGGGUGAGUAAUGCAUCGGAACGUGCCCGGUCGUGGGGGAUAACGCAGCGAAAGCUGCGCUAAUACCGCAUACGAUCUGAGGAUGAAAGCGGGGGACCGUAAGGCCUCGCCAGAUCGGAGCAGCCCAUGUCAGAUUAGGUAGUUGGUGGGGUAAAGGCUCACCAAGCCAACGAUCUGUAGCUGGUCUGAGAGGACGACCAGCCACACUGGGACUGAGACACGGCCCAGACUCCUACGGGAGGCAGCAGUGGGGAAUUUUGGACAAUGGGCGAAAGCCUGAUCCAGCAAUGCCGCGUGCAGGAAGAAGGCCUUCGGGUUGUAAACUGCUUUUGUACGGAGCGAAAAGGUCUCCUCUAAUACAGGGGGCUCAUGACGGUACCGUAAGAAUAAGCACCGGCUAACUACGUGCCAGCAGCCGCAGUAA